rnacentral:rRNA from 1 species
UACGAAGGGGCUAGCGUUGCUCGGAAUUACUGGGCGUAAAGCGCACGUAGGCGGCUCUUUAAGUCGGGGGUGAAAUCCUGGAGCUCAACUCCAGAACUGCCUUCGAUACUGAAGAGCUCGAGUCCGGGAGAGGUGAGUGGAACUGCGAGUGUAGAGGUGAAAUUCGUAGAUAUUCGCAAGAACGCCAGUGGCGAAGGCGGCUCACUGGCCCGGUACUGACGCUGAGGUGCGAAAGCGUGGGGAGCAAACAGG